rnacentral:lncRNA from 1 species
CUCAGCACUUCAUCGCAUCACACUCAACGAUGCAAAAUGGUAUGCUCUUCCAAGUUUUGAGUUAAUGUUUACAAAAAGUGAAAAUUAUCGUAAUAGCAAAGUGAGUAACUGUUAAUAACUAUGUUAUGUUGUUAUUGAAUGAAAUGAUUUACGCAAGCGCGAUUAAGUAUGCCUAUGGAAUGAAUCCCUAUGAACAUAGAGCU